rfam:Myotis brandtii contig235853, whole genome shotgun sequence.
GUGUUCUCUUUGGCAGCACAUAUACUAAAAUUGGGAUGAUGCAGAGAAGGUUAGCAUGGCCCCUGUGCAAGGAUGAUGUGCAAAUUCAUGAAGCGUUUUAUAUUUCU